rnacentral:rRNA from 1 species
AACGAACGCUGGCGGCGUGCCUAACACAUGCAAGUCGAGCGCGAAAGGAGCAAUCCGAGUAGAGCGGCGCACGGGUGCGUAACACGUGGAUAAUCUGCCUCAGGGUUGAGGAUAACCUUCCGAAAGGUUGGCUAAUACUCGGUAAGCUUACGGUGACUUCGGUCGCUGUGAGAAAACUAGACCUCUAUUUAUAAGUUUAGGCCCAGAGAUGAGUUCGCGGCCCAUCAGAUAGUUGGCGGGGUAACGGCCCACCAAGGCUACGACGGGUAGCUGGUCUGAGAGGACGAUCAGCCACACUGGAACUGAGACACGGUCCAGACUCCUACGGGAGGCAGCAGUGGGGAAUUUUCCACAAUGGGCGAAAGCCUGAUGGAGCAACGCCGCGUGUGUGAUGAAGGUCUUCGGAUCGUAAAGCACUUUCGACUGGGACGAAAAACCUUUGGCUAACAUCCAGGGGCCUGACGGUACCAGGAGAAGAAGCACCGGCUAACUCUGUGCCAGCAGCCGCCGUAACAC